UACGAAGGGUGCAAACGUUGCUCGGAAUUAUUGGGCGUAAAGCGCACGUAGGCGGCUUAGCAAGUCGGAAGUGAAAUCCCUCGGCUCAACCAAGGAAGUGCUUUCGAAACUGCUGAGCUUGAGUACUAAAGAGGAUCGCGGAAUUCCCGGUGUAGAGGUGAAAUUCGUAGAUAUCGGGAGGAACACCAGUGGCGAAGGCGGCGAUCUGGGUAGAUACUGACGCUGAGGUGCGAAAGCGUGGGGAGCAAACAGGG
rnacentral:rRNA from 1 species